AGAUGAUUGAAUAUGCCAAGCGCAUGUAAAAACUUGUAUUAAUUUAAUGGUAUAGAUAAUGGAUAUUUGAUCAUAAGUGUAAAGAGGUAUGAGAAGUUGGCAGAUUGAGGUUGUUUAGGGUUUCUGCGAUAUCUGGAGUUCUACUAGCUAGAAUAAGGUGAAUUUUGGCAUAGUAAGUCUAGGAUUUAAAGAAGGAGCUGCAUACAAAGUUUGAAUGAGAAUUAAUGAUUGGAGAAGAAAAAAUUGUAAUUCAAAGUUCAUCAUCAACUUUCUAGGCAACAGUCAAGAGAUACUAGUGUGGAUUUA
rnacentral:lncRNA from 1 species